rnacentral:misc_RNA from 1 species
GAUGAAACGCAGUGAAAUGCGAUACUUGGUGUGAAUUGCAGAAUCCCGUGAACCAUCGAGUCUUUGAACGCAAGUUGCGCCCGAAGCCUCGGCUAAGGGCACGUCUGCCUGGGCGUCACGCAUCGCGUCUCCCCCAAACCGCCAAGGCGGAGGGGAAGGAAGAUGGCUUCCCGUGCCUCACCCGGCGCGGUUGGCCUAAAUUUGGAGCCCGCGGCACUUAGCUCUCGCGGCGAUAGGUGGUGAACAAGGCCUUGGCCGUGCAAACAACCCGCUGCGAAGCUCUAUGUCACGUGCGCUCGUCGGACCCUUUGAAGUUGCCUUCGGUGACUUAAAACCUUUGCGACCCCAGGUCAGGCGGGGCUACCCGCUGAAUUUAAGCAUAUCAAUAAGCGGAGGA